GCCGAACAGGGACAUGGGCAGCGUCUGGAGGUGCAGGGGGUGCCCAGUCUCUUCUGGAUUCUCCACGUCAGGUCAGGUCCCUCUCUGAAAUCUCCCGGGGGGCAGAUCCACCUGCACCUGCUGGCAGGAAGGGAAGGCAAGUGAUGGGGAAGGAGCAGAGAAACGUUUGGGGAGCCGGCUCCAGGGCUCAGAAACCCACCCACCCAGCACGCUGGCAUUUCUCCUGUUCUCCAACUUCGUUUUCAUUUUUUAAAAAAAAGUGGUGGUCGUGGUCACCAAGAAAACCGCAGGAACGUGACUCAAGCGGAAGCAAUGUCUGCCUGAGUCUGCCGAGAGCCUGGAACAAGAGCUUGGAGAGAUGUGACCUGCCCCACUCCACUCAGGAAGAGGGGAACUCCGAUGCCACAGUGCUACAAGUCAACAACCGCUCACUAUUUCAUCCCUCCUGUAAGGGAAGCUGGCAGAUCGGUCCCGUUCACUGCGAACCACCUCUCAUUUUGAUGCCAGCAGUGGGUGUCAUUUGGGAGAUGACACCGCUGAUUUCUUUUCUCCAGGCAGGAAAGAGCUGAGCCCACGGACAAGGUCAAGCGCCAGCCCCGUGGAGUAGGAUCAUACGCGACUAUCUGCACAAUCUACCAUGAUCAGCACCUCAGUUCGGAAACUUGUGUGGGCAGAGUUUAGAGGAGUUCGCUCUCCCCUCCCAUCUCUCCAUGGCACAGUGGGAGCAUCUGGGUGCUCUACGGGCCCAGAACGGCUUCACCAUCAUGAUCCAGAGCAGAGGAGCCUGGCGUUCACAUCCCACCAGAGGUGCAGGCUUCCGGGGCGGGGACGGGGCGCAUUUCAAGUUCUGGGAGGUUGCUGGAUUAAAAUCCACUGAGGGUUUUAACCUGUGAUCCAGCAGGAGCUGUGAAAUUCACUCCCAUGAAGAGGGAUUUCACCCAGUGCGACUGGCUGCAAUUUCAGUCCCCUGGAGUGACUUGGCUCUUGGUGGAGAAGGAGAUGCUCAUUGGGUGGGCGGGGAGGGGACCAGCAUGGUUUUGAGCUGAGUACGCGCAUGGAAAGUAGCAGAGUGCAAGGAGGGUUGGCCUGGAUCUGACAUCCCCUUUCAGCUCCCAGAUGAAACUGGGCUCCUGCUGGUUGCGUGCAAAGCACUUGCAAAUAAAAACCAGCUAUUUUCUGCUUCUGCUAUUUCUUUGGAAGGUGCUAGUCACAAGCGGGGGUGAGGAAGGGAGUGAAUCCUUCUGUAUAAAUAGGGGAAGCUUCCCAGAGAGAGAGAGAGAGAGAGAAGAGUGUGAGACAUGCACAGACAGACACAGAGAGGGAGAGCGCCUUUCUAGUCCUGCCAGAGGUGUAAAGAAAUUGCCUUCCCCAACCACGCCCCAGAGCCAAACAUCUCUAUUUACACCCAUCACCUUGAUCUCUAGUCCUUGAGCAAAAUUCAGAACCAAUGCAAGGAAAUCCUUUUCUCGCCCAACGCACUCUUGGAGUGUGGAACUCCCUGCGACAGGAUGGCCCCGAAGCCAAGAACUCAGCCAGGUUCAAAAAGGGACUGGAGAUAGAAAUGGAGGGUAAGGUUAAUGCAAGCAGGCCUUUUGGAAGGGAGAUUAAACCUCCUGCUUCAGGAUUAGAGCAAGUCUGUAAGUAUCAGGGAUUGUUCUGUGUCUGUACAGCACCUGGCACAAUGGGGUCCUCCUCUGGGACAGGGUGCUCCUCGGCACUACCGUAAUACACCUACUAGAGAACCAUAUAUUAGGAUGUUCCUUCCACUGGUUCUGGCCACUGUCAGAAACAGGAUACUGGGCAAACGGGCCUGAGAAUUCCUCGGCCUGGGGUUAUAGAGCCUCAGAGUGGGAGAUCUAGGGAUAGAACCCAAGAGUCCUGGUUCACACUAGCCCACUCACCUCCCCAGGGCUAGGAGUCCUGGUUCACACUAGAACGAGUCACCGCCCCAGCACUGGGGCCAGACCCCAGCAGCCCUGAUUCUCAGUCCCCUAUUCCCUGCUGUGGGAGGGAGCAUGCCCAGCAGCCUCCAGUCAGUUCACAUGGGGUCUGCGAUUUAUACUCUUAAGGGAUCUGGUGCCUUCAAUUCCUCCCCUCCGAUCCCAGCAGGGAUCCAGCCUCUUUAUCCUCUGCUUCAGCUUCUGUUGGGAAAACGGCCUCUCCAGAGGCUGGAGUUGCUGGCAGAGCUGGGACCAUGAGAGUCAGGGGCUGCUCCCCAAAGGCUGGCAAAACCCUGCCAGCCGGCAACUUGCACCUCCAUGCUGCUGGGCACCACACUUAGCUGCUGUGCAGGGGAAAUACUUGAUCCGUGAGGCAAUGUGGUCUUGUGGGUAGAGCUGCCCGCCAUGGGGGCUUGAGCUCUAUUCCUGGUUCUGGGAGGGGAGUGGGAUCUUAAUGGUUAGAGUGGGGGAGCUGGGAGUCAGGACUCCUGGGUUCUACCCCUGGCUUUGGCCCUGGCUUGGAAGCUCUUACCCAACUGCACAGCCCUGUGAUUGCUGUUGAUCAGAAGACCCCUCUCCUCGAGUGCCUGCAAUGGGGGCGGGCAGCACACAGCUGAGAUUGCUGGUAUUUCUGGAUCUCUGUGCGCUGGUCCUGCUUUCCCAGGCCCGCGUGUGCCUUCAUACAGCAGCCGAGUCAGGCCAGGUCAUAGCCUGACUGCUCCCUCUGGGCUCCAGCGUGUCUAUAUCGGGGCCACCCCUUGUACGGUACUAACAGAGACCUAGUAAAAAUAACCCCCGGCCGGCCUCGUGCCAUGUGGUGUCGAGAAUGCACGAAGCUGGUCUCCAGCCCUCCUCCCCUCAAGGCUGCCAGCCCCUUGGCCUUCCCUUGCAUGUAGCUGGCCUCACGCAGCUGCACGGGGGGGGUCCCUCUCCCCCCGUUUGUGGGGACAGGCUCAGUCUGCUGCUCCCCCAUCCCAUCAUGCAUCUGAGAUCCGACCCAUGGCAGGGGAUCCAGUCCUGUCAGUGCCCACAGCCCUGCUCUCUGAACGGGCUUUGCCUUGCAUUGCCUGGGCCCAGAAACGUAGGGCUGGGGGCUCGCGCAUGCAGCUCCCCCAAAAGCUGCAGUCUGGGGCCAGGCCAGCUGGGAAGGCAGCGGGCGAAUGAUACCGCUGGGAAAUACACGAUGGGGCGGGAAUGCAAAGUCAGCUCCACUGUGAAACCCGCCCUCCCGCCCCAAGCAGUGACGAGCUAACAGGAGGAGACCGGCAAGGCUAACGCGCACAGCGUGGUGCACUGACACCACAAGGAACGCCUCGCCUGGGGUCUAAGAACUGCCACGUGGCAUGGUUGUGUGGUUAGAGCUGUGGGGUCUAGUGCAUUAGCGCAGGGGCUUUGGGACCUAGGAUGCCAGGGUUUUACUCCUUGCUCAGGGAGGGGAGCCUGCUCAAGUGAGGAGAGCAGGGAGGGGCAGGGGGGGCUGUGACUCAGGACUCCUGGGUUCUCUUUCUGCUUCUGCAGAGGAGUGUGCCUUUGCAGAGACAGCUGAAAAGAGACCGCCAUGACUGCCAGGAAGAGAAGCUCUAGAGGGCAAUCCCUGGAUAUACUGGGGGAUACCCUUCCCCCAAAACAGAGCUCCUACCGAAAAUGAACAAACAAGUAAAUUAAAGAGGUGAGAAAACAUGACCGAGUCUGGAGCAAACAACCAUUCUUUCUGGAGGGAAGGCAGGGACGAUCUGGAUUUGACGGCUGCCGUUUGAGCCAAUGAGCAACACCCCAUUCUGGACACCCCCGGCCUCUGGGGGAAUCAAGGGCUAAUGGGCCAGCUUCAAGAAGAGGUGCGACCAAAGCUGCGGGCACCGAGGGCUUGUCAGAGGGGGAUGCUUACGGAGGCUCAGGCAGAUCACCUGAAGCUGGGCAGUCAACGAUGAACACGCCUUGGACGCCCGCGGUCAGGAGUCAAGGCAAAGUUUGUUACAACUUUCAUUCACCUGCAAGGAUUUUUUUAGAGGCAGUUACAUCUCUGUCCACCAGGUGGAGCAAUUUUUGAUUUUGGCCUUUGGGGGACCAGAGUGACAGAAGGUGAUGACUUAGCAACUGCAGUGUUAUGUAUUGUAGCCAUGACAAAGCAAGGGGAGUAUUGUUCUCCUGACGCCAGGCCUCGCCGUGUAGGUGUGGACGAUCUGUUUUGGAGGAAAUCACUUCUGCAAAUAUUGACUCACGGCUGCCGAUCUGGGUCACCCUGGUAUGAAUCUGCGGUGACUUCUCCACAUUUAUACCAAGAACAGAAUCUGGCCCGGCACGUGAAAGCAUGUUCCUGUUUGAAGGGCAAGGGCUAGAUUCUGACCUGUAAAUGUGGAGUAACUCCAGGGAAUUCAGUGGAGUUACACUGCUGGAAAUCUGAUCAGAAUUACUCUUUCUAUUCCCACUAGCCAGAUAAGGCUUGGACCCAGCUGGAUGGGAGACAGAGGCUGAGAUUUCCACAGGGAUCUGCAAACCCAAAUGAAUGAGAGCGGAGGAACAUCACAAUGGCCAGGAUACUAGUCUAGGGCCUUCCCCAUUCUGCCACAGAUCUCCUGGGGGACCUUACGUCCAGGUCCUCAAAGGAAGUUAGUCCCUAAUUCCCCUUGAUUCGCUCCGUCCCUGAUCUUCAAACAAUCAAAGCAAAACUCAAUGGAAUCUGUUGGGUUUUAACCUCAUUUAUUUAAGGAAACCCCCAUCGGGGACCUAAAACCAGAGGCAUCAAGAUCUUCAGGAUUCCCUGACACUGGGAGUUUGCAAACUUCAGUCUGAAUUUUCGAUUUGCAACCAAACGUCUUAUCUAGAUCCUGAAAAUUUGAACCUCUUGGUUCCUCGGCUUUUCAAGGUCUUUCUUGCAACUAGACCUGGUUGAAGUUUUUCAAAGAAGCAUUUUUCCCCCUAUCGAAAAAUGCAGUUUUGUGUCUCAGUUGAAAACGUUCAAUUCCAAUUUUUUGAUUAAAAAAAAUAAUAAAAAAAAGAAACUGGAAUUUUUAUCUUAGUCCCAAAUUGAUAUUUUCAUUUCAUUUGGGUUUCCAAAAACCAGGAAAAAAUCCUUUUCCUGGCCCCCACCUCUACUGUCUCUCUCUUUUUCAGUCCAAAAAAAGGGGGGAAAUGUUUCUUUUUUAAAGGCAUAAAAAUACCCCCAGAUCUCCAUACUGACAUUUGUCAGAUUUCAAAAAGCAAAAUUUCCAUUCAAAACAAUCUGGCACAAAAGUUUCAUUUUGAAUGUUUCUCUUGAAAAAAAAAAUCCAUGGAUUUUUCAGUCAAAAAUGUUGAUCAAAAUAGUUUCUCUCAAAUCUAUUCAAAGAAAUAACAUUGGAUUUUUCCACUAGUUCUAUUCACAACCUCAACAACCUUGAAACCAUUAUCAAUUUCCUUCUGAGAGACAUUCUGACUCUCUCUUAUCUGAGGUUCCUGAACAGUAGAUCCAGGACUCCUGGGCUCUGUUGCUAGUUUAAGUUUAAAGCCGGAAACGACCUUUAGAUCGUCUAGGCUGACCUCCUGGAGAACUGAGCUUGGAAGGAUUAGAUUUUUAUUGGUAAAUGGCAAUUUCACCAUGCACACACAAACCGAUAGGAAAAUAUUUCCAUGGAUAAUAACUGAAACUUACAGACAGGCAAAGAAAGAAGAAGGCUGCUUGAGAACUAGAGGUUGACUGAAGGAUAUUGACUUGAUAUAUUUUGACGUGCUGUUGACCAUUUGUGUUGUAACAGUUAUAAAGCUUUCACUUUUUGAA